GCUUGUGUGCUUGUUCGGUGCGGACCUGGUACGUUUUAUGUGAAGCAGCAGCUGAGGAGACUCUGGCACUCACCAUGGCCGACGAAAAGCCUAUGGAAGGAGUCAAGACUGAGAACAACUAUCAUAUUAAUUUGAAGGUGGCGGGGCAGGAUGGUUCUGUGGUACAGUUUAAGAUUAAGAAGCAUACACCACUUAGUAAACUAAUGAAAGCCUAUUGUGAACGACAGGGUUUGUCAAGGAGGCAGAUCAGAUUCCGAUUUGAUGGGCAGCCAAUCAAUGAAACAGACACACCUGCACAGUUGGAAAUGGAGGCUGAGGAUACAAUUGAUGUGUUCCAGCAGCAGACAGGAGGUGUCUACUAAAAAGGGAACCUGCUACUUUACUCCAGAACUCUAUUCCUCCAGACCAAGAAGACAUUCUCAAUUAAAAAGCCGCA